AUAAAUUCAAUGAAGCCUGCAACUGUUUCAGUUUUCAGCUUUUUGGUGGUAAGCUGAAGGGGAAAAACACACUGUGGAUCAAACUCCAAUUAAACCCUCCAAAUUCCACCACUUUUUGCAUUUACAACUUCUUCUAAAGCCCUUUAGCUUUUCAACAGAAAAUAAAUUUCUCUUAGCAAAUAGAUAUGGGUACUGAGAUCAAAUCUAGUGUAGUGCAUGUGGUGAAGGUCAAAUGAAACAGUAUCAAUGCAUCAAGAAAAUGGUUCAUGUACCCUUGGUUUUUGUUACUAAGUGCAGGUUGAUGGUAAAUGCUCCGUUUGUCAUCCGAGAGAGCAAAGAAGGCGCUGGCGAACAGGAAUGUAAAAUCAAAUUCCCAGGGGGAAACAGGUUAAGUCUCUGCCACAGCUAGUCUAAAGAAACCUCUGAGUUCCAAAGUGCUGCAGCAAGCAUCAAAGUUCCGUGUAGUAAAUCAAAGAACGAGAUAGUGAUGAUUUUGUACUUGGUCCAAAGAGGAGAAAAGGGUAAGAAAGAGCACUCUUUGCUUGUGCUGUCAUGUAUUGAGUAGAAAUUUGGGACAUUUGGAUUUGGUUGAGUUUAGAUGCACCACGCCAGUCAUGGAAACUGGCAAAAGGAGGAUUCUUGAGUCCAUUGUUUUAUUCUUGAUCCAUGGAGAUGGUAAAUGAAUAAAAAAUAUUAAUGCUUCUAGUCUGUUUCAUUGAAUUGUAGUUGCAUACGAACCAAUUUAAUGUUUUAUAGCUGAAUUUCUACAUCUGAUAUGACUUGUGUUUA